UCAACUUGGUUUCACGCCAUAA
rnacentral:siRNA from 1 species